AGCUUUAAGGAAAGCUCUUUGUUUUUUGAAAGGGUGCUUUUAUGAGAUAGAGCUUUUUUAGAUAAUGCUGGGGAAGGUUUUCCGGUUUAUCUCGGAGGGCUUGUAGCUCAGUUGGUUAGAGCGCGCGCUUGAUAAGCGUGAGGUCGGAGGUUCAAGUCCUCCCAGGCCCACCAAUUUACCUAUCCAUUUGCCUUUAUCCGUUUAUUUGCCGAUUUAUCGGUCCAUUGAAUUUAAGUGUUGGUAGCGGUUUUUAUAAUGAUGAGAAAUCAUGCUUAUAAAAGAAUUCCUUAUAAAAGGCUUGUUUUUAAAAUGUGACGCUUAUCCAUUUCGCUUAGGCAAAAGAAACUUCAAGCGGUCAAAUGCAAAAGGCUUUAAAUUUUGCAAAACACUUUGAAUUUUAAAGUGAUCCAAGUUCGUGAUCUCGAAUUUAAAAGUUUCAAAUGCUUUAUCCUUUUUUGGGGGCCGUAGCUCAGCUGGGAGAGCACCUGCUUUGCAAGCAGGGGGUCGUCGGUUCGAUCCCGUCCGGCUCCACCAUUUAGAUCAUCAUCAUUGUUGUGAGAACACUCUUUAGUGAGAGGUUAAGUAGCCUUUCGCUUGUUCUAUUGAAAUUGUGAAGAGAAGGUAUAUUCAGACAUGUUUCUUUUGAAAUGUUUGUUUUGAAGAAUGAAAUUCGUUUUUCGAAAAGCAGAUAUGCAAAAAUCUGAUUAAUGAAAAAAUUGAUCACUGGAUUAAAAUCUGUAGACCGAUGUUGGAAAAGGAAACUUGUGUCCCA
rnacentral:tRNA from 1 species